UGCCAGCCGCCGCGGUAAUACGAAGGGUGCUAGCGUUGUUCGGAAUUACUGGGCGUAAAGAGCAUGUAGGCGGAUGAAUUAGUCAGAGGUGAAAGCCCCGAGCUCAACUUGGGAACUGCCUUUGAUACUGGCGAACUUGAGUACGGGAGAGGAAAGUGGAAUUCCGAGUGUAGGGGUGAAAUCCGUAGAUAUUCGGAGGAACACCAGUGGCGAAGGCGGCUUUCUGGACCGAUACUGACGCUGAGACGCGAAAGCGUGGGGAGCAAACAGGAUUAGAUA
rnacentral:rRNA from 1 species